GGAGUACAGACCCAGAGGCUGGCACUUGAGGUGGCCUCACCAAGUCUUGGCCAGAUGUCUUCCUGGUGGGUGAUAGGAAACCAGAGUUGGCAGAGUUGGCAAAGUAGGUGUGUGUGGCCAGGAGGCCCAGGCCGAAGCUGGGCAGCCCCUGAUGAGACAGAAAGUGGGGGCGGGUGCCUGAUGGCAGGAACCAGCUCCUGGCAUCCAAGCCCCUUGGAAACAGAAGGAACAAGCCUGCAGAGAUGCUGAGUCAGCAAGACAGGUGUCACAGGGAUGACAUAAGGGCUCCCUGGAGAGUGACAUGGCCUUCCCAUCACCUUGGAAUAAAAAUACUCUAAUAGCUGUUUGAAAACCUCUUCGGGUUCACUGCAGUACUCCUUAUUCUUCGUUGAAAGUUCACCCAGCCCCCCUACGCAGACCCUCAUGUGACGUUUUCAUUGCUAUCUUGAGUCUUACCCAGGGAUGUUGCUGUGCUUGAGGAACCCAUCCUUAUACCCUCCUUUCAAAAUUCUUGCAUUCCCCCCCCCAAAAAAGAAAAAAAAAGGAGUUCCCAUCGUGGCGCAGUGGUUAACGAAUCCGACUAGGAACCAUGAGGUUGUGGGUUCAGUUCCUGCCCUUGCUCAGUGGGUUAAGGAUCCAGCGUUGCCGUGAACUGUGGUGUAGGUUGCAGACUCGGCUUGGAUCCAGCGUUGCUGUGGCUCUGGUGUAGCCCGGCGGCUACAGCUCCGAUUCAACCCCUAGCCUGGGAACCUCCAUAUGCCGUGGGAGCGGCCCAAUAAAUAGCAAAAAGACCAAAAAAAUAAAAUAAAAUAAAACUCUUGCAUCCAGAGUUCCCACCGUGGCUCAGCGGUAACAAACCCAACUAGUAUCCAAGAGGAUAUGGGUUCAAUCCCUGGCCUCACGCAGUGGGUUAAGGAUCUUGCAUUGCUGUGGCCGUGGUGUAGGCCAUCAGCAACAACUCUGAUUCCACCCCUAGCCUGGGAACCUUCCUAUGCCUUGGGUGCAGCCCUAAAAAGACAAAUAAAUAAAUAAAAUAAAAUUUUCGCAUCCUGUAAAAUCCAGCUCAGGUGCUACUCCUCUAGGAGUUUCUCUGGCCGUACCUCGUUCCUUCCUGACAUCUCAGGGCAAUACUUGCUUCUCCUGGUUGGACACGUUUUUCCUGCUGUAGUCUAUAUGAGACUAUUUUCUGAAUAUAAGACAUGCCUCCUAGAUGAGAUUAUAAGUCCUUCAAUGGCCCGCUGGGUCAGAAAUGUCCUUUUUCUCCACACAAUGCUGCAUAGUGAUGUUCACAUAACAAGUAUUAUCAGCAAAACUCACUGAAAUGAUAUCACAUGCUAUAUUCUAUAUUAUUUAUUUAGCCUCCAUUCAAAGAUGUAUUGAUUUUCAGGAACCUCUUUCUAAAAUGUAAUCUCCGGAGUUCCCGUCAUGGCUCAGCAGAAACCAAUCUGACUAGUAUCCAUGAGGACACAGGUUUGAUCCCUGGCCUGGCUCAGUGGGUUAAGGAUCGGGUGUUGCCAUGAGCUGUGGUGUAGGUCUCAGCUUGGAUCUGGCGUUGCUGCAGCUGUGAUGUAGGCUGGCAGCUAUAGCUCCAAUUAGACCCCUAGCCUGGGAAUUUCUAUAUGCUGUGGAUGCAGCCCCCCCAAAAGAGACAUAAAAUGUAAUCUCUUUAUUGAAACACCAGAGGUUGGCUUAACCAAACAUUCCUAGGCAAUUAUCCCCUGUCUCUUUGUAGUUAUGAGGUUGGAAAAACUGAGACACUCAAUUUGGCAGCAUUGCUUGCGACUAAGGCAGAGCCGAGGACGCACAUUCUAAUUCUGGCCGAUUAAACUGAAGUGGGAAUCUGUUGUGUUGCCACUUUCCCUUUCUUCUUUGUUUCUGCCUGUAAUGCAGACAUGACUGCUAGAACUUCAGCAGCCCUUUUGUGGCUCAGGUGACCAAUGUGAAAAAAGGCCAUAAGAAUCUCAAAGACGCUGGUCCUCCCCAAAGUUGCCAAGAUGUUGAACCAGGCCUAGAAGCCAUCCAUAUUAGGGCUUCCAAUAAAAGAAGGGAGAAUCUAUUUGAUUAAUCGCUGAAGUCAGGUGUUUAUAAUUUUUAGGCAGCCAAGAGCAUUCCUAACUGAUAUACAUCCAUGUGCAUUGUCAAAGACAGAGAAAAGGACAAAGAUGAAAAACCCCCUGUCACCUAACCACUUAACCUCUAUGGUGUUUUGCUGCACAUGAUCCAACUUGCUACCUGAAUGAGAACAAACUACAUUCUUCAAUAAAAAAAAUGAGAUCUUUUGGAUAUUUUUUAAAUUUUUUUAUUGUUAUUUCCCAAUACAAUUUUUUUCUACUGUACAGCAUGGUGACCCAGUUAUACAUACAUGUAUACAUUCUUUUUUCUCCCAUUAUCAUGCUCCAUCAUAAGUGACUAGACAUAGUUCUCAGUGUGUUAUGAGUAUUUUAAAACCUUGCCAUCAAGAAGUUUUCCAGGAGUUCUCCUUGUGGCACAGUGUAAAUGAAUCCAACUAGUAACCAUAAGGUUGCGGGUGCGAUCCCUGGCCUUGUUCAGUGGGUUAAGGAUCCGGCAUUGCUGUGAGCUGUGGGGUAGGUCACAGAUGCAGCUUGGAUCCAGCGUUGCUGUGCUGUAGGCCAGCAGCUGUAGAUCCAAUUGGACCCCUAGCCUGGGAAUCUCCAUAUGCCAUGGGUGCAGCC
rnacentral:lncRNA from 1 species